rnacentral:lncRNA from 1 species
GUGGUUGGAAAACACAGUUGAGAGUAGAUCUGGCUAAUGAAGAACAAGAGGAAAAAGGUAAAUACACCUGACAACAAAAGCAUCAUCAUAACUUGAUCAGAACAAAAAAGGGAAGAAAACGAAAAGGAAGUAAUGAUGAAAACCUUUUGUAACAAUUGAAAAUUGGUCAACAUGUUCAUUAUUACACCAAUCUGCAUAACUACUACUACCCACAUGUGUAACUGAUCUGAAAACAAAACCCCACUGUUCAGAUCUACCUAUAAUUAAGAAAAAAACAAAACUUUCAGAGAAAAUUAUUAAAUCUUCUAAAUAAAUGGUAAUUAUAAUACAGAAAUAGAGGACCCAAACCUAUAAAAUGUUGUCCAUGGGCAUAAGCUAUGUUGGUUUUGUUUAUCAUCCGGAAGAUUAUAGUUCAGGGGAAUGAAGCCUGGUCCGACAACACUAUAAAUUUCUUAAUCAAGUAUAUUGAUUAAAGAUGAAAGAGUCCUCGAGCCAGACAACAUUCCCCUAAAAAAGAAAGCUUCCUAAAUGGUUUCCUUCUUCAUGCGUCCUAUAUUAAAAUCAUUUUUCUUUUUUCUUUAAAGAGAAAUGGUUUGGUUUUAUUGACUUGUACAGUCUAUGGUAUCUCUUCAUCCCCCAUGAGUCUCGCCUAUGAUAAAGGGAGAGAGGGAGAGAGGGAGAGAGAGAGAGAUAUGGGUGUUGUGGUGAGAAUGAGUGGGUGAAUGUGAAUGAUGAGAUGAGAGGGGGAGAAGAAUGGGGGAUUAUAACAAGGUUAAAGAUAAAUAAAGGAGGGAGUGGGGGAAGGCAACGUUAUAAAAAAAAGACAAAAGGAUUGGUUCAGGGGUAGACCCUACAAGCUUGGUUCUCACAUCCAGAAAUGACCACGACCCC